rnacentral:rRNA from 1 species
CUCGUAGUUGGAUUUCUGCUGAGGAUGACCGGUCCGCCCUGUGGGUGUGCAUCUGGCUCAGCCUUGGCAUCUUCCUGAAGAACGUAGCUGCACUUGACUGUGUGGUGCGGUAUUUAGGACAUUUACUUUGAGGAAAUUAGAGUGUUUCAAGCAAGCGCACGCUUUGAAUACAUUAGCAUGGAAUAAUAAGAUAGGACCUUGGUUCUAUUUUGUUGGUUUCUAGAGCUGAGGUAAUGAUUGAUAGGGAUAGUUGGGGGCAUUCGUAUUUAACUGUCAGAGGUGAAAUUCUUGGAUUUGUUAAAGACGGACUACUG